rnacentral:sRNA from 1 species
UUCCUCAUGUUUGAGGGUCAUGACCACCAUC